rnacentral:rRNA from 1 species
GGAUUAGAUACCCUGGUAGUCCACGCCGUAAACGAUGGAUGCUCGAUGAGGCGGCUUUAGCCGCUUUGUCCAAGCUAACGCGUUAAGCAUCCCACCUGGGGAGUACGCUCGCAAGACUAAAACUCAAAGGAAUUGACGGGGGCUCACACAAGCGGUGGAGCAUGUGGUUUAAUUCGAAACAACGCGAAGAACCUUACCCGGGUUUGAAAUCCUUGGAUGCCUCCUGUGAAAGCAGGUCGGGUUGCCCUUCGGGGUGAAACUUGGACAGGUGUUGCAUGGCUGUCGUCAGCUCGUGUCG